GAUGAACGCUGGCGGCGUGCCUAAUACAUGCAAGUCGAGCGAACGGACGAGAAGCUUGCUUCUCUGAUGUUAGCGGCGGACGGGUGAGUAACACGUGGAUAACCUACCUAUAAUACUGGGAUAACUUCGGGAAACCGUAGCUAAUACCGGAUAAUAUUUUGAACCGCAUGGUUCAAAAGUGAAAGACGGUCUUGCUGUCACUUAUAGAUGGAUCCGCGCUGCAUUAGCUAGUUGGUAAGGUAACGGCUUACCAAGGCAACGAUGCAUAGCCGACCUGAGAGGGUGAUCGGCCACACUGGAACUGAGACACGGUCCAGACUCCUACGGGAGGCAGCAGUAGGGAAUCUUCCGCAAUGGGCGAAAGCCUGACGGAGCAACGCCGCGUGAGUGAUGAAGGUCUUCGGAUCGUAAAACUCUGUUAUUAGGGAAGAACAUAUGUGUAAGUAACUGUGCACAGCUUGACGGUACCUAAUCAGAAAGCCACGGCUAACUACGUG
rnacentral:rRNA from 1 species